rnacentral:rRNA from 1 species
CAGUAGCCGCGGUAAUACGAGGGGGGCAAGCGUUGUUCGGAAUUAUUGGGCGUAAAGGGCGCGUAGGCGGUUUGGCAAGUUUGGUGUGAAAUCUUCGGGCUCAACUCGAAGUCUGCACCGAAAACUGCCGGGCUUGAGUAUGGGAGAGGUGAGUGGAAUUUCCGGUGUAGCGGUGAAAUGCGUAGAUAUCGGAAGGAACACCUGUGGCGAAAGCGGCUCACUGGACCAUUACUGACGCUGAGGCGCGAAAGCUAGGGGAGCAAACAGGAUUAGAGACCCCUGUAGUCCCUGUCUCUUAUAC